AUCUUUUUAUUUAUUUAUCAUUAGAUAAUUUUUUAAAGAGUGAGAUGUUUUAAAUACGAAAAAUGGACGCAAAACCUGAGGUUCACCAUGAUUUGUAAUGAUCCUUCUGCAGGUUCACCUACGGAAA
rnacentral:misc_RNA from 1 species